AGAGGAGCAUCAUACCAGCUCCCAAGCAGUACGUGUGGCAGCAGCGAUUACAGCUAAGGAGGAGCUAAACUCUAGAGGCUUGUGCUGUCUCCAGGGAAUACACCAAUUGAAAAACAACAUCCAUAAAAAAUAAUUCAGUACUAGUAUGUAAAACUAAAAACAAUAACGAAGUGUGGCUGGCUGUCGCGAAUUAAGGAAAGCAAGACAAAGUGUGUCUUGCCAGCAGGUAACUCCCAGCAAGGGAGAGCAAGGGCCACAGCGAUUCUCACUCCCCACCUUCGAGGGGAAGGUGUCACCUUUGGCUGCAGGAGUUCACACCUCUUGGCAGCAGCUCUGAAUCUCUUUGGGCACCAGCUUCUGGGAAGCAGAGUCAGUUAAGACUGUUUUUUGGGGCACAAGGAGGUCUCACACUAAAGCACACAGCCCUACAGCCAGAGGUGUGCUGAUCAAUGUUCAACACCUGGGCCUCUGGGAGAAAAUAGAGUGUGCAUGUAUUCAUAUACACACAUACAGAGCUAUUGUAAGUUGCUGGUAGAAUAAAUGCUUAGCACAUAAUUUACAAAUAAUAAUAUGCACAAUACUAAUUCUUAUAAGCAGUCACCACUGUCUAAUUCCAGAACAUUUUUAUCUUCUCCCAAAGAUGCCCCAUAUCCAUCAGUCAUUCCCCGUCCUCACCUGCGUCCCCUAGAAACUAUUAAUCUCCUUUCUGUCUCUAUGGAGUUGCCUAUUCUUAAUAGAAUAUUUCAUAUAUGUAUGGUUAUUUUUGUCUGGUUAUUUCAUUUAGCAUAAUGUAUUCAAAUUUCAUUCAUGUGAUAGCAUCUGUCAGGACUUCAUUCCUUUAUAUCAGUAAGUAAUAUUCCAUUGUAUGGAUAUACCACAUUUUCUUUAUCUGCUUACCAGCUGAUGAACAUUGAGUUGUUUCUCCUUCUAAUUUGGCCAUUAUGAACUUUGCUACUAUAAUCAUUCAUGUGCACGUUUUUUCUGGACACCUGUUUUCUAUUCUGUUGGGUAUAUACUUAGGAGUGGAAUAUGGGGGGUCAUAGAGUAUAUUUAAUUUUUUGAGAAAUCACCAAAUGGUUUUUCCACAGUGUCUGCAUCAUUUUAUAUUCCAACUCACAGUGAAUGAUGGUUCCAAUUUCUCUACAGCCUUGCCAACCCUUGUAUGUUCUCUUUGUUUGCUUGUUGUUUUUAUUACAGCUAUCCCAGUAGAUGUGAAGUGGUAUCUUAUUGUGGUUCUGAUUUGCAUUUCCCUAAUGACUAAUGAUGGUGAGCAUCUUUUCAUAUGCUUAUUGCCCAUUUGCGUAUCUCCUUUGGAGAAAUGUCUAUUCAGCUCUUUUAUCUGUCUUUUUUUUUUUUUAAUGUUUAUUUACUUUUGAGAGAGAGACAGAGCACAAGCAGGGGAGGGGCAGAGAGAGACAGAGACACAGAAUCCAAAGCAGGCUCCAGGCUCUAAGCUGCCAGCACAGAACCCAAUGCAGGGCUUGAAGUUACAAACCGUGAGGUCCUGACCUGAGCCGAAGUCUGAUGCUCAACCGACUGAGCCCCAGGUGCCCCUUUUCCGUCUUUUAAUUGGAUUAUGGUUUUUUGUUGAGUUGUAAUAUUCUGGAUACUAGAACCUUAUCAAUAUGUGGUUUGCACAUAGGUUUUUCUAGUCUGUAGGUGAUCUUUUAACUCUCUUGUUAAUAUCCUCUGAUGGACAAAACCUUUAAAUGUUGAUGAAGUCCAGUGUAUUUAUUUAUUUAUUUUGUCUUUUGCAGCUUGUGCUUUUGGGGUCAUAUCUAAGAAUCAAAGCAAGUCAUAGGGAUGGGGGCCCUGCACAUUUGCAUGAUAGAGGGCACACGUAAGAGUGUAGUGAAGAACUGGGGCCAUUAAUACAAUUUUGUCACACCAUGAUUGGCUUACAUUGUCUUCAGUAUGUCUGCCAGGAACUUUGCCACCCAAACAGAAUCACAAUUCUGUUAGCAAGAAAGGAAGAAGAACAGUUUGGGCAGACAACAUGUAGAGCUUACAACCCAAAUUGAUUGGGAAUCUCACCUGUAGGAAUCUGAGAUCAAGGCUGGCCAAAGCACUGUGCGAUGGCUGAGGAUGUGUUUGGUACCUCUCCGCGAGGGAUAGAGCGUGGUCAUGGAAGCAAACGUCCAGGAAGGCCAAGCCACUCACCAGGAUCCCCAACAGAGAGCUUGAUUGUCCAUAGCUCUGUUCUCUGUUUUCCCUGGAUGGCUGAGGCUUAGCAGUAACAGAUCCCAAGCAUAGAAGGAGAGAGAACUGUUGGCAGAAAAAGGAGGAAAGACACAGAUCCAAAUCCCUGUUGAUAACCAGGAUGGUGGAACAGGGAUCUCUCUCUGUAUUCUAGUGACUCUCAAGUGAUACCAGUAUGAUCCGUAAGAUGGAGAAUCUCCUUCCUGUUUCUAGUUGAAAUGACCAAAUUCUUUUACUCUUCAAAGUUGGAAUGAUACAACAUAGACUGUUCAGCUGCUCUUGACUCAAGAAUAUAAACUGACCACUGACUUUCCUCAUUUUUUAUCCAAUUUUGCGUUCCAUAAGCCCAGAUAUGACUUCAUUCAUUCGUAUGAAAUUUUGCAGGUCGUUAGCCCAUAAUUAAAUGAUUCUGGUUAUUAGCAUAAAGCACAGCUGUGGUACAUGAGAGGUAACCUUUAUUGUUUAAAUAUUAUGCAGUGUGUUCACAUAGUGCCCAGCAAAAUUCUAUUUUUUCAGACUAUUCAGCCAUUAUGGAAAUGCCUUAUGAUUUCAUUCAGAAAUGUUACAAAUGCACUUCAUCAUUUCAGUGGGGGUAAACAUUGCCUGGAAUAGUUCCUAAGAGGAAACCAGGUCAGGAACAGGGAAAUUUUUGACAUGGAAGAGAGCCCCCAGCAGGUAGGGCUCAGAAAGACUCGUGCCAUGUGGAAAAGUUCUUAAUAUCUUGGGCUUUUGAGUAGCAGUGACCUGGAUUCAAAUCCCCCUUUCUGUGUCCCCUUAGGCAAAAUACUUAAACUCUCUGAACACCAAUUUCCCCGUCCAAAAACCCCCCAAAAGGGUAAGUUAUGCCUCCCUCUUAGGGUUCCUGUGAGAUUCAAGGAGGGAAGGUCUUCUUGUGGUGGGCACAGCCCUGGACCCAUAGUGAACGCUCAGCAUCAUAGCUGCUGCUAUUAUUACUGCUAUUGCUGGUGCCAUUACUCUCACACGCUAGUAUAAUAAUGGCGAUGCUCUGGCCUGGGAAGGUGGGGACCCCUGUCGUUAGACAGCCCAAGCAGCACCUGCCUGUUGCAGAAGGUUGAGCAGCGGGCCAUGGAACUGCCACCUGUGGCUCCUUGGACCUGUCUGCCCUUGAGUAAGUCAGUGACGAAGAAAUGACUUGCCUUUUGUGGAGUAACUUUGUGCCUGGCAUACUGCAGAUAUCCGUGGUUGACCAAUUAAUCUUGUCAUUAUCACACAAGCAUUCCAGUAAGUCUGUAAAUAGUUGGAGUUGGGGGCUUCAGGCUGGUCUCUGAGUUGGUGGUUUCUCCAGUCGAUCCAAUGUACGUGGUGGUGGCGAAGGAGAUCCCUCCUUGAAGAAUAGCACUGGUGAUGGUGCUGGAGAUAGUGAUAAUGUUGAUCAUGACAGUGAUCAUAGCCUGAAUUAUCGAGCGCUCAAAAGAUGGUAGAUACGGUGCUACAUGCUUUACAGGUUAUUGUGUCAUUUACAUUCCACAGAUAAUCGCUUUCUACAUACAAGGAAAAUGAGGGGCAAACACUUCAACUUAUCUCUGAUCUCACGUAGGGUACUUGAGUCCAGCAGUCUCACCCCAGAAAGCUGGCUCUUGAUCACUGUGCCCUUCUGUCUGUCCAGUCGUUUUGUCAACGAGUAGAGUGGGAAGGAAGUCCUUAACUUCUGAGGGCCACCUACAGACUGCAACAAAAUGUUUUCUCCAACCUCAGUCUCGAUGGGAUGAGCGCUCGUUAGUUCCUCUACGUCGUACCUGGGGCUUUAGGCCACUGCUGGGUCUUCCUCUUCUAAAACAGAACCCACAGUGCACAUGGAUGUCUGGAAAACACCGCCUCGGAGGGCCGCACUUACCUUCCCAACUUAACACUGACUUCCAGACCUGGCUCUUGAAUUUCAUCCCUUUAUGCGGCAAGUACACAACCUUCAUUGGGCCAGCCUCUGGGAAUUGAGUCUAGUGGGUAGGUCCCUUACGUUUCUAAACCUCAGUUUUCUCAUCUAUAAGAUGGGGAUAAUAAUGACAUCUACCUAAUAUAUUUGAGGAGGAAAUGAGACAUUGUAUGCAAAGUAUCUCGUAAAGUGGCUGACAGAUAAGAACCCAAUAAAUACUGGCUAUUUUCAGCACCACCAUUAUCUUCACCGCCCAAUGGAUGCAGAAACAUAAGGUUCAAGUAAGUGAAAUAUGGUAAGAUAAUGAAUGAAAAGUAAAAUUAGUUGAUGUCUAUAAUAAGACAAAAAAGCCUCCUGUGAAUAUUUAUAUCUUAAAGAUCCAUGAUCUAUCAUUGGUUUCUUAAACAGGGUGUGGUAAAAACUUUAGGCUGCUGACAAGAAUUGCUUUAAAUGUUUACUUAGCAGGGGCAUCGGGGUGGCUCAGUUGGUUAAGUCUCCAAUUUCAGCUCAGGUCAUGAUCUCGUGAUUCAUGAGUUUGAGCCCCACAUCAGGCUCUGUGCUGACAGCUCACAGCCUGGAGCCUACUUCUGAUUCUAUGUCUUCCUCUCUCUCUGCCUCAUGAUCUCUCUCUCUGUCUCUCAAAAAUAAAUAAAAACAUUAAAAAAAAAAACCACAUCAAUUAAAAAAUUAAAAAUAAAAAUGAAUGUGUACCUAGCUAUCAUACUGAAAACACUUCUUGACUCCCUUCCAGAACUUUCUUCUUUUAGUCGAGACUGGCUAACUGCUCUAACAAACAACUCCCAGAACUAAAGUUGAUUUCUUGUUCAAGUUACAGUCAGUGAGGCGGUGAGCAGCUGGCCUCCUGUGCUGUGAUCCAGGCACUCAGGCUUUGACAUCUUGGGUUCAUCCAUCCCUUAGAGCCUCAGAUCUUCUCCUGGAUCCUCAAAAUCCAGACAUUGGAUGAAGGAGGAAAAAGAAUAGGACUCCCAGCAGGUUUUUAUGGGCCAAGCCUAGAAGCAAUGAGAUCACUCUCACCUACUUUCCAUUGGCCAGAACUCAGUCACAUGGUCACACAUAGCUAGGAGAGGGUCUGGGAAGUGUCCUAUGGUGAUGCCAUCAGGAGGCAAGAGAAAUGUUUUCAGUGACACAUUGUCUUGUCUGCCUUGCUCUCUACCAUAUUACUUUCAAAUUGCACAGUCUUAGCGCGCCUGGGUGGCUCAGUGGGUUAAGCAUCCAACUUCAGUUCGGGUCACGAUCUCACGGUUUGUGGGUUUAAGCCCCGUGUCAGUUUCUGUGCUUACAGCUCAGAGCCUGGAGCCUGAUUCAGAUUCUGUGUCUCACUAUUUCUCUGCCCCUCCCCUGCUCACUUGCUCGCGCGCGCGUGCGCGCUCUCUCUCUCUCU